rnacentral:rRNA from 1 species
AUUGAACGCUGGCGGCAUGCUUUACACAUGCAAGUCGAACGGUAACAGGCCGCAAGGUGCUGACGAGUGGCGAACGGGUGAGUAAUGCAUCGGAACGUGCCCAGUCGUGGGGGAUAACUACUCGAAAGAGUAGCUAAUACCGCAUACGAUCUAUGGAUGAAAGCGGGGGACCGUAAGGCCUCGCGCGAUUGGAGCGGCCGAUGUCAGAUUAGGUAGUUGGUGGGGUAAAGGCUCACCAAGCCAACGAUCUGUAGCUGGUCUGAGAGGACGACCAGCCACACUGGGACUGAGACACGGCCCAGACUCCUACGGGAGGCAGCAGUGGGGAAUUUUGGACAAAGGGCGCAAGCCUGAUCCAGCAAUGCCGCGUGCAGGAAGAAGGCCUUCGGGUUGUAAACUGCUUUUGUACGGAACGAAACGGCUCUGGUUAAUACCCGGGGCUAAUGACGGUACCGUAAGAAUAGGCACCGGCUAACUACGUG